rnacentral:lncRNA from 1 species
ACUUAAGGGAACGCAGCCAUCAGCAGUGCCUGCACCAUGACACAGGCAGCACCUGCUCCUUCAGCUUCAUUUGCCUAUUCUCUCUCGAAUCCUUUCUCCGAAGCGUUCACCUGCUCCUCUUCUCCUACCACCUCCUGGCACAACUAGACUGGCCGUGACUCAUUUGAAAUACUCUACAGAGAUGCUACCUGGCACUAGGGAUGCACUUCUGUGCCUAAGCUGCAAUCAACUGCCUUCCAAAAGGAUGUGUUUUGAUUAAUGAGGUGCAUAACAUCUGAAACUGAUGCGGCUUCUUCAACACAGCCCUUAAUGUUCCCAGAGAAUGACAGAGCAAUAGAGGACGUGCUCAAGGAAUCAAGCUGUUUGUCCUCUUUCAGCUAUACUAUUCUAGCCUGCUCUCGGAAAAUACCCACACUCUAUUUCUUGGUCUUUCUGGGAUGAUUCUCUAAGUGCUGCCUUAUUCGAUGACACAAAUAAGAUUCUCUUAGAGCCCUGAGGUGGGGAGAGAACACUGCAGAGCAUCCAAGCAGCAGAAUGCUCCUUCAUCACUUCUGCAGCUAAGAAAGAAAAUGAUAAGGUGCAAAGACUGAGUCAGGCUGCCUGGCACACUGCUGCACGAUGACAGAAGCAUGCAGACAUCCUGGUGCUCAGACCUCUGACUAGCACUCCCCAACCCACUAAUGUCCAGUUUAUAUAUGGGGCAGAUGAUUCCUAAGAUACAGAUAAGUUUUUUAAAUUAUUGUUUGGGGACUACUCCUGUUACCUUUGAAACUGUCUGUAAAACUCUUUAGUAUCACACUUGCUUGAAGCAAUUUUUCAGCACAUCAUUUUAGCAAUUAUUAUAGUCCCAUUUUGAAUAAAAAAAUGCUUAACCUGAAAUGAGAACGUUAGUGCUGUCUCGAAUCUAGGCCUCAUCAAAUACAUAACCCAAAACAAGAAUGUGAAUUCUCAUGUAGCUCUGUCAGCAAGGGCAGGUUCCUAAACACUUCUAACACUUGGCUCCAGGAGUCACAGGUACCCCAACUCAGAGGAAGAUUCAAAGUCCUUAAAAUGUAAUGACAAUUUGGUAUCCAGAGAAUUUCAAAGUAAUUAUAUUUUAUUUGAGAGUCUUCCAAGAAUAAAGUGCAGGAGACAAGGAGAAUUAUCCUUGUCUAAAUGGUAUGGAACUAUCACGGCCAUUAUUUAUUAUUGACAUUAUGGCAAUGCUUUCCACGUUAGCAAAUGGUCCUUUUAGGCGGGUUUUCAGAACACUUCAGAAAAGCUGUGCCUGUUGCUGCGUUAGGACUGUUCUAUCAUUGGCUGCACAGGACAUUCAAAGGGGGUAUAGGGAACCCACCUGCCAGGGAAGGGGAAAACACUUUCUGAGGGAAAUGAUCUCUUUUUUUAACAUUUUUGUCAAUACUGCUCCAGACCUGUCAUAGAUACUAAGGGAGUAGAUGUAGCAGGGAGAAUGCAG